CAGUAGCCACGGGAAUACGGAGGGGGCUAGCGUUGUUCGGAAUUACUGGGCGUAAAGCGCACGUAGGCGGCUUGGUAAGUUAGAGGUGAAAGCCUGGAGCUCAACUCCAGAAUUGCCUUUAAGACUGCCGAGCUAGCAGGUGAGAGAGGUAAGUGGAAUUCCGAGUGUAGAGGUGAAAUUCGUAGAUAUUCGGAAGAACACCAGUGGCGAAGGCGGCUUACUGGCUCAUACUGGACGCUGAGGUGCGAAAGCGUGGGGAGCAAACAGGAUUAGAUACCCCCGUAGUCCCUGUCUCUUAUAC
rnacentral:rRNA from 1 species